AAAUGUAUGAAACCAAACUGUGACUCAGCCACAGCGAGCCCACUGCUCAAGACCUCUUGGCAGUGGCUCUGGGUCAUAGUUUUCAAAUUUGGCUCGGAAUAAAUCUCUUUAAAAUUAUUUUACAGAGUUUGGCCUUUUUUCCAUUGACAAUUUGGCGUAGUCAGCAGGAUCUUGGAGAAGACUCAGGACCCUCUAAGGAGCAGUGCGGACUCGGCGCCAGGCACCGGCAUGGCCCUUUUAGGCCUCCAACUUCGAGGUUCUCCUUUGGCGGGACUGGACAAGGUUGUGAGUGGGUUCCUGUACGCCGGCUCAAAAGGCGAUGUCCCAGUCAAGAUGCCGCACAAGAUGACAACACGACAUCUAAAACUAAAGAAGAGAAAGCAGUUGGUAACGCUGG